CUUGUGUGUGACCGUUGAGUGCGCUGGUUGAAGUUUUGUUCGGUAGCUUUUUGAAAUUAUUUCAGUAACCGGUAGGUGAAUCUUCUUUAGGGCAACAGUUAACUUGUAGUGAUCGUGUGUGCCUGUGGCUACAUCCAUGAAGAACAAGCAGACGGCGGCGGAAGGUGGCGGGGGCACCAGAAAAGGGACAGCUGUCGGGCCAUGGAGGCUGGGCGAGUUCUUGGGGCCAGCAGCCUCACCUCACAUAGCCGCCGCCCACCCCAAAACGCUGACGUCCAGUAAGAUGACCCAGCGGCCGUCCCCGGAAGCGGCGGUGGCGGCGGCGGCAGCAGCAGCCUCUGCCCCCGACUCGGCGUCUGCG